rnacentral:rRNA from 1 species
UACGGAGGGUGCGAGCGUUAAUCGGAAUUACUGGGCGUAAAGAGCACGUAGGUGGUUUGAUAAGCGAGAUGUGAAAUACCUGGGCUUAACCUGGGGCGUGCAUUUCGAACUGUCAGGCUAGAGUACAUUAGAGGGUAGUAGAAUUUCCGGUGUAGCGGUGAAAUGCGUAGAGAUCGGAAGGAAUAUCGGUGGCGAAGGCGACUACCUGGAUUGAUACUGACACUGAGGUGCGAAAGCGUGGGGAGCAAACAGG